rnacentral:rRNA from 1 species
UACUCGAGUAGCGAACGGGUGAGUAACACGUGGGUGAUCUGCCCUGCACUUCGGGAUAAGCUUGGGAAACUGGGUCUAAUACCGGAUAGGAGCCAUCUUUAGUGUGGUGGUUGGAAAGUUUUUUCGGUGUAGGAUGAGCUCGCGGCCUAUCAGCUUGUUGGUGGGGUAAUGGCCUACCAAGGCGGCGACGGGUAGCCGGCCUGAGAGGGUGUACGGCCACAUUGGGACUGAGAUACGGCCCAG